GACGUAGGUGGCGAGCGUUAUUCGGAUUUAUUGGGCGUAAAGGGUUCGUAGGGGGCUGUUUAAGUCGGGUGUGAAAGCCCAAGGCUCAACCUUGGAACGUCACCCGAGACUGGGCGGCUGGAGGAUCGUAGAGGAGCGUGGAAUUGCUGGUGUAGCGGUGGAAUGCGUGGAUAUCAGCAGGAACACCAACGGCGAAGGCAGCGCUCUGGACGACACCUGACCCUGAGGAACGAAAGCUGGGGGAGCAAACAGG
rnacentral:rRNA from 1 species